GAUGAACGCUGGCGGCGUGCCUAAUACAUGCAAGUCGAGCGAACAGACGAGGAGCUUGCUCCUCUGACGUUAGCGGCGGACGGGUGAGUAACACGUGGAUAACCUACCUAUAAGACUGGGAUAACUUCGGGAAACCGGAGCUAAUACCGGAUAAUAUAUUGAACCGCAUGGUUCAAUAGUGACAGACGGUUUUGCUGUCACUUAUAGAUGGAUCCGCGCCGCAUUAGCUAGUUGGUAAGGUAACGGCUUACCAAGGCAACGAUGCGUAGCCGACCUGAGAGGGUGAUCGGCCACACUGGAACUGAGACACGGUCCAGACUCCUACGGGAGGCAGCAGUAGGGAAUCUUCCGCAAUGGGCGAAAGCCUGACGGAGCAACGCCGCGUGAGUGAUGAAGGUCUUCGGAUCGUAAAACUCUGUUAUUAGGGAGGAACAAAUGUGUAAGUAACUAUGCACGUCUUGACGGUACCUAAUCAGAAAGCCACGGCUAACUACGUG
rnacentral:rRNA from 1 species